rnacentral:rRNA from 1 species
GUCUACGGCCAUGCCACCCUGAACAAGCCUGAUCCCGUCUGAUCUCGGAAGCUAAGCAGGGUCGGGCCUGGUGAGUACUUGGAUGGGAGACCGCCUGGGAAUACCGGGUGCUGUAGGCG